GGAUGAUCUGGCUGACAUCUGUCAUCCCACCAAUCACCAUCACCAGGGUUGAUGUGGCUGGCUAGGUGGGUGUCCCUCCCAAGAUUAUGUGCUCAGUCACAGAGGAGACCUUCCCUGAUAGAGGAGGAUUAUUCUUUGGUCAAAGGUAUAUGAGAAGCUGCACUCCCCUACAAGAACUUCCAAACAAACUCUCAAAAUAAUAAUUCCUCGUACUUAUCUAUAAUACAUAAAGUAGAUGAAUAAGAAGAAAAAAUUCGUUUUACUCAUAGAAGAUAAAUGUCUAUGCUAAGAUGCAAGCGAUAGCUCGU
rnacentral:snRNA from 1 species